GAUGAACGCUGGCGGCGUGCCUAAUACAUGCAAGUCGAGCGAACAGACGAGGAGCUUGCUCCUUUGACGUUAGCGGCGGACGGGUGAGUAACACGUGGGUAACCUACCUAUAAGACUGGGAUAACUUCGGGAAACCGGAGCUAAUACCGGAUAAUAUUUCGAACCGCAUGGUUCGAUAGUGAAAGAUGGCUUUGCUAUCACUUAUAGAUGGACCUGCGCCGUAUUAGCUAGUUGGUAAGGUAACGGCUUACCAAGGCAACGAUACGUAGCCGACCUGAGAGGGUGAUCGGCCACACUGGAACUGAGACACGGUCCAGACUCCUACGGGAGGCAGCAGUAGGGAAUCUUCCGCAAUGGGCGAAAGCCUGACGGAGCAACGCCGCGUGAGAGAUGAAGGUCUUCGGAUCGUAAAACUCUGUUAUUAGGGAAGAACAAACGUGUAAGUAACUGAGCACGUCUUGACGGUAACUAAUAAGAAAGCCACGGCUAACUACGUG
rnacentral:rRNA from 1 species